GACGAACGCUGGCGGCGUGCUUAACACAUGCAAGUCGAACGGUGAAGCGCCUUCCUUUUUGGUGGGUGUGGAUGAGUGGCGAACGGGUGAGUAACACGUGAGUAACCUGCCCCCUUCUUCUGGAUAACCGCAUGAAAGUGUGGCUAAUACGGGAUAUUCUGGGUCUGUCGCAUGAUGGGUCUGGGAAAGAUAUUGUUUCGGUGGGGGAUGGGCUCGCGGCCUAUCAGCUUGUUGGUGGGGUGAUGGCCUACCAAGGCGGUGACGGGUAGCCGGCCUGAGAGGGUGGACGGUCACACUGGGACUGAGACACGGCCCAGACUCCUACGGGAGGCAGCAGUGGGGAAUAUUGCACAAUGGGCGCAAGCCUGAUGCAGCGACGCCGCGUGAGGGAUGGAGGCCUUCGGGUUGUGAACCUCUUUCGCCAGUGAAGCAGGCCUGCCUCGUUUGUGGGUGGGUUGACGGUAGCUGGAUAAGAAGCGCCGGCUAACUACAUG
rnacentral:rRNA from 1 species